AUCUGCUGUCAGCCACUGGAGAAAAACAAGCAAAACCAGUCUAGUGAACCUAUGUCGUUUUGCUUCUUUCUACAAGAGAGUGAAGAGAUCAUUUCUGUACCUGCAGGAUCUUUUCCUAAUGGUCUCUGAUACAUAAAGAAGGCUCGUGAAACAAGGAAAAUCUUCCUUAAGACAGGUUUUGUUAAUUCUUCUUAUAUGAUUCUGGAGAUGGGCUCUGGCAAGACCCCACUGCAAUCUUCCAGAACUUGAAAGGAGCUUACAAGCACGAGGGUGACCAACAUUUUAUGCAGUGUUUCUCGGGAUACAGAAUGGAACCAGACUGUGCUUUUCUUCAGAGUAAGGACUUCCUUCAUCAACAUCGUGUAUACAAACGCAAUUCCGCUAUACGUUGGUCUGAAAAUUUCACCUAUAAAGAUGGAAAAUCGCAUUUGCUUCAAAGGCAACAAGAACCAUGGGUUUGUAAUCUUUAUUGGAGGCCAUCAUCAUCUAUUUUGAUGGAUUUCACAUGAGUUGGACAUAAGCAUGUGUGAAUGAGGUGGCUAAAUCACUCAAAUUUUUUACACUGUAACAAUAUGAGAUGUGUACAUGCAUAACAGUCCUGAGACCGUUAAUGACUUGUCAGCCCAAGUAUUAGACUGUCUUCAAACUAUGUAGUCACACAAGAUGUUAGGAAACCUAUUAAAAAGUCUGGUGGAAAUGUGCCUGCAAAGAAGCUCAUCAUGAACAGACUGAAGCACAAAAGCUGCUUUCUGGAUUGAUCUCAUGACUCUGUGCUGGGUAACAAACCUGCAGGAAUCAUCAGAGGCUGUGCAGGAACAUGACCUCCCACAGCCAAGUGCAACAGACGUGGCCAUGCCUUUGAGGAUGGAGGGCUGGAGGACAAUCAGGGAACUGGAACAGAAGACAGUAAAUGCCCCAUAGUAUCCCGAGCUUCUGUGGCUCCCGAGCUUCUGUGGUUCCGCUCCCUGCUGCUUCAGCAUUCUUCCUCAGCAGAAAACAUAGAUCCCCAGGAAUCCAACAUUUCAAGGUAGGAGGUGUGAGACAGAAACAAAUGCUAUUAUGAACUGUUGUGAACAGCCAACACAAAGUUACUUGGUAUUUAAGUGCCACCCCUUGCUUAUCCUUAUAAAAGAAGCACACCAACUGAUCUUUUCAUCCCUUCUCCCUUCUCAUACUCUCACUUGUCUUCCUUCUGACUGACUCAGGUAGUGGAAAGAACACAGAAGGCACUCACAGAUGUAUCCCUCUUGCCUGUAGGGCUCAAGACAACUAUCCCUCUGUUUCACCUGAUCAAAGCUGCUGAAGCAGAGAAAUGGGUGGCUUGUGUUUGAAGUCCCUCUGUCAUGUAACUUCUGGGUAAGCCUCAACAGAUAACCCCAGGCUUCUGCUAUGUAAUGUGUUUACCAUAUCUAAGUGAUCCUUAUCAAGUCAUCCUCCCCCUAGUAAGAGUUUGUUUAUUGUUCAGUGUAUGUGGAUUGAUGACAGAGCCUCCUCACCUUUACAUCACCCUAUUUAUGGUCUAUGUUGACAUUCUUAGGAACAUUAUUUUUGAGUUCCAGUGCAUUAUUUUGAGUUCCAGUGAGGAUCAGGCAUGCAUUUUGGAAGAGAAUCUCCUAAUUAUCUUCAAUUAUCUCCACAGACUGUGCUCUGGUUUACACCAUGGAGAAGUCUCAAAGCAUACAAAUCUCAUUCCUUUUGGAUAAAAUUAAUUUGGAUCAUGCAUUCAGGAGAAAACUUAACGCACCCCUGCUGCUAUGGGCGUUAAGUCACAUGUGCUUCUUUCUACAGCUAGUCUGAAGCACCUCCUCAGAAAAACUCACUCAGACUUUGUUUUCAGCACUACAAAUCUGUUCCUAUUGGUCUAUAUUAUUUGCUAACAGGCAUAGCCUUUGCAAUCAUAAACUAAAUGUUAGACAACAGAGAAAGAGGAGGGCAAUGUACUUAGAUAAAUAGUAAUGACUACUUGAAAAAGAUGUAUUGGAAGGAUUAGAUUCAUAAAUGUUUGAGACUAUUUACAUACCAUCUAUUUCAGUAAGAUACAAGGUGCUAAUUGUCACUGUGAAUCUGGGCUGAAGCAUUCAUAACUUUACACUGCUACUGUAUAGGGUGAUUCCCCAAAUCAUCAUACUAACACAGAGUGGUAGUUAAAUCUCUUACUCCACAAUGGUGAAUACAGUGUUGCACUCUUGACCAACUCAGUGGUGGCUCCUUUGUAUUCUGUUUUAUCCUAUUUAUAUAGGAUUCCUUAUGUCCUCCUUGAGAUUGAUAUAAAUCACUGGCUGCAAGGGAAUUAACGAAAAUUAAAACUGUCAGAGAUUGCUAAUAACUACCCAUCUGUUUGCAGUUAAUUAUUAUGAGGCUCUUAAUGGAAAAAAAAAAAAAGUGCAGCACAAAGAACAGAUAGUUUUGUUCUAUUUUGUCAUGCUGCUCUGACAGUUUUCUUACAAGGCCCUCUCUCAGAAGUUUCUAAUGUGCACUUUAGCUAUACAAGGUGAAGAAGUACCCGAGUAGCCUGUUACUCAUAAGAGUAUAGGUCAGUAAGAACAGGAAGAUCUUUGCAUGUCCACUUUGACCUAUUACCUCUCUUGAGAGAAAAUGUCUACUUUGUGUAAAAAAUGGUCGGCUCUGUACAGCCUUCCAAACAGCAUAGGUUUUCUGGUAAAAUGAAGAAGACAGAAUUGGCACUCAUGCUCUAAAGAGGCCUAAUAUUAUAUUUGGAAUUGUCACUUCCAGUAGAGGAGACUACUUAUUAGUGACCUCCUAUGGAUGAUAAUGUGUUGCCUUAAUUUAGAUUGAUUACUACUAAUUCCCUGUAACCUUCUGUAAGGAGUUUUUGUAAGGCAACUCUUGAAACAAAGUGCAUAAUACACAAACUCCUACAUUCCUCAGAAGAGAAAGAGAAGGGAUAAACAUCACAUAAGGAAACAUAAUUGUGGCUUGGCUUUUGUGGUUCUCUCACAUUUUGUCAAGAAUUACUCAGAGAAAAUAGGAGGAAAAAAAUCCUAUCCUACAACAAUAGCUACUUUAUCUGGAUAAAGUCAAAUUUGUUUUUUCCCUUGAAUGAAUUCCCACAUCUUGUACGCUAAUACAAAUCACUGAUUAACAAUGCUCAAGCUCUGUUUGUUUGUUGCUUUUUGGCAGACACAGUGGCUUUCAUACUUUGCUCCUUAAUUACUUGUCAUUCCAUCCCCUGAUUGGUUUUCAGGUCUCUCUCAGCACAACUCCCACAAAAGAUUCACUUUCAGAAUGUCUUGAAAGGUAUUAUUUAUUUAUUAGUUACCAGACAACGUGGCCCUUUCCAAUGCCUUUGUCUUGUAUCAGAAAUGCAGCUAGAUGCAGAAACACAGAGAAUAUUUCCUGCACUACAUUAAUAUAUCCAAAUAAAAUUUAUUAUACUACUUGUUACUAAGUUCACUAACUUUGGCUCUUUUUGAGGACUCUUAUUGCUCCAGUAAUGUGAAUGGUACCCUACUUCCUGAGGAACAGAGAGGCCCUUGAGAAAUAAGCAAUCACAAUAAUAGUCCUGUAUAACCUAUUAUUCUGGAAUCUCCACCAUGCUCACGUGUAACCUCUGUGAAAAGUAGGUUCCAUCCAUGAAAAUCUGAAUAAGGCUCACAGAUGGGUCUCUAUGGCCCAGGCACUACCUCACUAUCAGUCUCUGUUGUGUGUUGCUGAUGAGUUUGCUCCAAAAGGAGACACUUGGGUGUAGUAGGGGAUGUUUGCUACUUUUGCAGGAGUUGGCCCUUGCCAAAAUGAAUAGCUGUCUUCCUCUUUUCCACCCCAGUCACAACAGCAGGAAGAAAAACUUCUUCCCCUUAUGGAUGUCCUCUGGCAUUUUGUCCUGACUUGCACCUAUUCUUGUUCUCCUACAGCAGGAGUAUAAUCUUGUCCCGGUCCUUCCUUUCUCCUCCUUCUUCUGUCACGGAAAGAAAACAGUGUGUAGCUCACAAGUAACACAUCUUACUUGUAGUCAAAGUAGAUCAGCAGGAUAUGAGGACAGUAUGCUACAGACUAGAGUUCUGUACCAUAGCAGAUCUGAGAAGUCCAGUGGCAGGGAGAGUCUCUUCCCUAUACUUUGCCCUAAGCAACGUGAUUGUUUCUUGCCACCUCUCUUUGUCCUCUCUAACACCCCCAGAACUUGCUUUGUUUUCCGGGGAAAGAGGUGCAGACAUCACCAAUGUGGUGGCAGUUACAGAUGGUCAGAAAAUUCAUUGGGAUUAUAAGAAAAGAGUGAAAGAGAAAGAAAUGUUUUCUACAGUAUAUCUUUAAAAUUCUCAUGUUGGACAAAGAAAUUUAAGGAUAAUGGGAGACAGAGUACAACUAAGACUAAAACUAACACAAUCUGUGAGCAAAUGUCAAUAAAAGGAGGAAACGAAUGCAGCAUAGUUGGAAGUUGAUGCACUCAUGUCAAAGCUCUCUAAUGGAUGAACAAAAUAAUUGUUUCAGUUGGAACUAGAGCAUAAAUAAAGGCAUUAGGUAUCAUACUGCGUACCUCUAAGUGAACUGUCUAGACCCACUUGCCUGAAGAAAUCUUUCCCCUCAAGCAUCCUAGCUCUUUUCUGUAUAAACAUUCCCUGUGAAAAUAUUGCAGAGGAUAGAAGAAUGUUUUGAGUGUUACUGAAACAAACAAACAAAAAUCCAAGCAAUGAGUAUAAUUAAAAAUAAUAAUAAUAAAUAAUAAUGUAAUAAUAAUGACAUGAUGGCAAGAAUUAAUAUGAAUUGACAGUUCCUUGUCUUAUUACAAUAAAUUAGGGCAGGGUUGGACCUACUAAUUACCAUGAAUCUAUUAAUCUCACACUUAGCAUGUCUUUCCUGUGAUUUUCUCGGAACAUAUUCAUUGAACAAGAAGAGUUGGCUCCAAGUUAAAAUGUGUUCAAAAGACUGACCUGAAGAGUGCAAGGAUUUUGCUAAUGUCUGAAUAAGCUAUUCAGAACAACUGUUAUGAAUGUGGCCAUGGACUCUUCACUUCUUUGUUGCUCUUUCUUCUGAUGAAAAAUAAAAUAGUACAAAAAAAAGUUAUCUGAAGGCAUGAUAGGGUGAGUGAAUCAUGAUAACUAUAAUCAAUUUCAUGCAUCAUUAUUCUUCAAACACCACAACCAAAUAAACAUGACCUUAAUUUAGGAAUUGAUUUGAAUACUUUCCAUGGACUACAGCACUGGAGAUUUUGAUAAAAGAAACACAUAUUUUGCUUCUAAUUCAAAAUAAUAUUGCAUAGUAUAGUAACAUUUUGUUAUCUUCACUUCUUAACAAAGUCCAGUUUCAUUCAGUAUGUUGUUCUUAUGACUUAACUGAAGAGCAAGCUUUCUUCUGAGGAUGUGUGUCACGAUAGCAUCUCUGAACACAAGCAGGCAAUGGAAAGAGAGUUACAGCCUAAGCUUUUUGCCCAACUCUUGAGUAAAAACAAUAAUGGUAGCACCAUGGAGCGGAGUCUAGGAGUUUACUCUGAAAGUUGCAGAUGAUUUCCUUACAUCACUGAGAAUCUUACAGAACUUUUUUAAUACUGCAUCAAAGCUUAUUAGUCAACCCUGAGAUAAAGUUACUUCUCUAUCCUGGCUACCAAACAGUAUUAAAUCCUUUAUGUCACAGUUACAGCUGUCAUGAAGAAGUACCUAGCAAUUAUACUGCACUUAUUCAUCAUACAAUUAUUUCACUGUAUAGUAAAAGUAUGCUCAUUUUGAAAAUGAAUUGCAAAUCUGUAUUUCCUUAGAACACCCUAUAUAUAUACAUAGACUGAGGGGAUGUGACAUUGGAGAACAGCCCUGCUGAAAAGGAUUUGGGCAUCUUGGUCAACAGCAAGUUGAAGUUGACUAUGAGUCAGCAGUGUUCCCUGGAAGUGAGGAAGGCCAACUGUGUUGUGGAGUGCAUCAGGCCCAGCACUGCCAGCUAGGCAAGCAAAGGGAUUGUUCUUCUCUACACUGUGCUGGUGCAGCCUCAACUUCAGCACUGGGAACAGUUGGUGCACCACAGUGAAAAAAGGGCAUAAAACUAUUAGAGAGUGUUCAGAAGUGGUCUAUGAAAAUAGUGAAGGGUCUAGAGGGGAAGAUGUAUGUGGUGUGCCUGAGGUCCCUUGGAUUGUUUCAGCCCAGAGCAGAGGAGGCUGAGGAGCAGCCUCAUGGCAUCCUACUGCUCUCCAUGAAUGGAGCAGAGGGGCAGCACUGAUCUCUGCUCCCUGGUGACAGCAACAGUACCUGAAGGAAUGGUAUGGAGCUGUGUCAGGGGAGGGUCAGGUUGGAUAUCAGGAAAAUGUUCUUCACCAGAGGACAGUCAUGUGCUAGAAGAGCUUUCCCAGGGAAGUGGCCAUGGCACAAGCUUGUCAGAGUUCAAGAAGUGUUUGAACAAUGCUCUCAGACAUAUGGUCUGAUUUUUGGGUGGUGCUAUGUGGAGCCAGGGGUUGGACUUUAAUAUCAUUGAGUCCCUUCCAAGUCAGGAUAUUCUAUGAUUCUAUGAAAUACACAAAUGAAAAACUGAAUAACUAUGUAUCCAGAAAGGAAAGCAGGUUGUGUAGCAGAGAUACACAUUUAGUGCGGACUUUGAGGUAAGCAGCAGAUGAGAUUUGAUAUAAGAAAAGUUAGUACUUUUUGUUACCUUCAAACAGUGCUUGAGUUCCCCUCAUCAAUAAGGUAUCUAAUAACUGUCACUAAGAGCCAGGAGCAGUCAUGUCACUAGGCUAAAGGUGGACCAACCUAAUCUCCCACUGAUUGAUCAAACAGCCAAAUUCAUCAUUUUCUUGUCAUGCUGCCUUCUAACAGCAUGCCAAGGUGUAUGAAAAAGCACAAUUGGCUGCACUUUAGGAGUCCAUCAGGACUAUAUUGAGGGGAAAUGUCACCUAUUUUUCUUGUGUUCUUCUCUUGUCAAAACGGUAGUAAUUCUGUCUUUUAAAGGACGGUAGAAUUAUUGCAGGCUCAGUGUCUAAGCUUAGCUUUCCAUAGUGACUGUCAAUGACGUUUCCCAGACCCUCCCUAUUUGUAUCCACAUUGCUACCAGAUGAUGUGCUUUCACCAAGUGAGUGUUUAGAGGAUUUAGCAUUGCCGAGUCGCUGUAUAGGUGAAAGGGCAGAACCACAAGUUCCAGAUUUGAUGCUAGAAUUCUACUUCUCUAUGAAUCUCAUUCCUCUCAGGUCAGUUAUAAUUCUUGCCAGAGCAGAGCAGACACCUAACUGGAACUGGAAUGUGCAUCUGCUGUCAGACUGAAAUGAAACUGGAUACCCAGCAUCCCAUUGCAGAGACUAGGAACAGCAAUUGCAGUAUAAAGCAAGCAUAUAGGGUCUAUUCAGGAAACAAUGGGGAGUACAUUGCUUUGGCUAUUGGUAUAUUAGUACGUGUAUUCAAACACAACAUUGACCUAGAGACUAUGAUAACAUCUAAAACAUAUCAUUUUCUUAUGUAACUCUAUUUCAGAUAUAGCCUGUAGCAAAGCAUUUCAAAUAGAGGGAUAGAUGUCAUUAUGAUCUUUCCUCUGCUUCCCUGGAGGGUAUUGGUAGGGACCAUAUUGGAAAGGAGGAGAAAAUUUCUUACACUUGAAUUUCUACAACUGUAUGAUCAAGGUUGUAUAAGUGGAGUCUUGAUGCCACUGAAAUGAUCUUCAUUUGUUCCCAUUAAGAAGCGAUUUUACAGCUGAUGAAAAGAACCUGCUGCAAAAAGUACACAUAGAAGUUCUUUCCAGCCUCGGUGUGUCUGUACAAAAAGAAAAGGGAUGAUUAACAUCAUAGAAGAAAGGGAUAAUGGUAAAUUGGUAGACUGAAUAAUGAAGAGACAUCACACCAUUGCUGCGAAAGUAAGAAGAAAUUCAGAAAAUCAUCUCUAAGCUGACCUAGAAAGGAAUCAUUUGAUGUGGCUUUCGUAAUGAAAGACAAAGUAACAUAGUAAUUCAACCCUGAGAAUGGAUUUUCAUUAGGGAAAUGUGCUUCUCUGGACUGAGAUGGCAGUAUUCAAAGCAUGUGGGGAAGGACAACCAAGUUGAUCUCAGAUUGCUUACCAGGACCAGCUGGAAAAGGUGAUUGUAGGAUGCUUGCCUCUUUGUUAAUGAACUUCCUACAUUGCUAAUACCAUCUUGUGGUAUACCUUCAUCAUGCUGACUCAUCAAGCUACACAGAGGGAAUGAGUAUUCUGAAAUUUCCUGUGUCAUCAUCACAGAAUUGCUAGCCUUGUCUAAUGGUUUCUGAUUAAUUUUUAAAGACUUGUCUAGAAAUGCAAUGUAAGCCUUAAGAACACUUAAGAUUUUUUGGCUAGCGAAUCAAAUAGAGAAGUACUUGGGACAUUCUACUUCCUACUGUGCUAGUCAGUCACACACACACACAAAAGGAGGAUAUUCAGUCAGUUGCUUAAAAUAGGUAUUAACAAGUGCAAUGUCAAAUUGUCACAGUGAGUAAGAAGGAUAACUUGUUUUUUUUAGGGACUAUUAACGUAAAUCGCAUUACUAAUCAGGACGGAGUUAGCUGUACUCUGACCAGUAAGAAAAAAAAUGUCAUUUGUUAUUACUGUCACCAUAUAAAAUUGGAUAAAUUCUGUGCAUAUUUAAAUCUGUGGAAAGAUUCUGCCCCCUCUUUUCAGCUGAUGGCUUCUACAGAUCUAGUCUUAAGGUCCAGAUGUGAUGUCACAGUAUCUCAAACAUUCUGUGUUUGCAUUAAUUUCUGCUAGUACAUCAAUUGCCUGAGAGCAGUGAAAUACAGGAAAAGGAAAGUCUGAACUGAUAAUUUGUUGCAGAUAGAGGAUAUGAAAUGUUAAUUGCAGGACUGAAAAAACACUCUCCUUUAUUGCUUUUGCCUGGGUGGCCUAGUAAGAUAAGAUACCGUUCUAAAUUCAAAUUAGUCAAAACAGCUGGAUUUACAUAGCAUAUCAGUGGCUUAAUGGGGGAGAAAUGAGCUGAUCCAGAUAAAAAGCAUGACACCACUAAUCUGUUUACACACUGGAACAGAUGGCAAAACUACAUUUAGUUUAACCUGCAAAACCUCCAGCCAGAUUCUUUCCCUGCUCCCGGAGUACUGCUUCUCUUUUCUGGGCUGUGCCUGCCUUAACAAUGCCGCAAACACAAAAGGUCUGUGUUUAACUAGUCAGUCACGGCCAUUCAGAGAAACUAUUGUAACUCAGCCAUGUGCCGUUUUCCCCAUUUCAACAGAAAGAAGUCAUUACAACCUGUUACAACUUGUUACACUUGAAGAGAACUUCUGUUUUUCAUCUAUAAUAGGUGGAAAUUCUUAGAGGGUGGUUAGGCACUGGCACAGGCUGCCCAAUGAAGCUGUGUGUGCCCCAUUCCUGGAGGAGUUCAAGGCCAGGUUGGAUAGGGUCCUGGGCACUUGGUCUGGUGAGUGGCAGCCCUGCCCACGGCAGGGGGGUUGGAGCUGGGAGAGCUUUAAGAUCCCUUCCACAUUAACCUUACUUAAUGUGAGUGCAUUAAGAAAAAAGCAUUAGGUUAAACCAUUCAGAUAAAGUAACUGUGAGGAUCUUUUGCUUUUGCUGAAAGGCUUUUGGGCCUUUCAGUAAGACAUUUUUGGAAGGUACAUAUAUGAAAGGCUUUGGAAAAAUAGCAUAUAAGGGGUUAAAAUCUGACCUAUUUCAAACACCAUUAUAAUCAAAGGAAGUUUCAACCUCUUCGCUGUCUGAUGCGUGCAUAAUUCAGUCUCUGACCAUUACUUUGUGUUUAUCACAAGGGGAAUUUAGCAUCAGAGCAUUUAGUGCCCCCAUAAGUAACACCUCUGUAAUGGCAUUUCUUCUUAAUUAUGCUUCAUAAGUUAUUAAUAUUCCAACCUACUUUCUUCUAUUAAAAAGAAUCAUCCAAAUGGGAAUGGUAACCCACCCACUGCUGAUGGAAAUGGUUACUUAUUUGGCUAUAAAUAUCUUUAUUUUUUUAUUUCAUUUUUUUGCCAUAUAACAAAGGGUGAUGCUUUUUUCUUGACUAGAUGUACCAUUCAGUGUUAACAUCAUGUGUGCCAUCAGCAAAUAUUAUAUUAUUAUAUAUAUUUUUAUAUUUGAGGUCUCAAAGGAAAACAAUGUUGAACUCAAACCAUCCAAUAUCUCUUGCAGUUAAUCCCUUUACCAUUCAGCACUGAGAGUGAACAGCACUGAGGACUGGGUGCAGUAAUGCGUAAGUGCUGUAGAAAUAAGACAGCAAGUGCUUGAGUAUAUGAGAACUCCUUAGGUCAUCUGAAAGUGAGUCUGCUGGGAGACAAAAUUUCUGAUGGAUAUGGGCUUCAUCUGGGAGCUCUGAAACCAAACAUAAUUUGGGUCUCUAGAAACAAGACCUUCCUAAGUUAGUCUUUUGAUUUUAACUUCUCUGUUCCUGGGUUAUAAAGAAUUGCUGCAAACAAUCAGUACACCUUGAAAGUUUAAGCUUGAUUCUUUUGGGUUUAGAUUAGUGGUUUAUCUGCUUAUUAUGGCUGAAAUGGUAUCGUUUCAAUUCGUCAUACACUUGGAUCUGAGGUGUCUUCUCUUGCCCCUGUUCUCUGUGAAGAGAUCUUUCAAAUGUUUUGUGUUCCUCCUGACAACCCAGUCAAUCUGUGGGCCUGCAUCUUUAGCCUGUUUUGUUCCUGUACCUCUAAAAUUACCUCACAGUAUGUUCACCUUAAGUGCCAUAGCUUUGGAUGUAUAUUUCUUUAAUUAGGUGGCCUCAUUGCUAAUUAGAGACAUCAAAACAUGUUUUCAGAAUGUUCUAGGUCAUUAAAAUGAUUAAUGUCAGAAAACAAA